rnacentral:rRNA from 1 species
UACGGAGGAUGCAAGCGUUAUCCGGAAUGAUUGGGCGUAAAGCGUCCGCAGGUGGCAAUGUAAGUCUGCUGUCAAAGCGCGGAGCUUAACUUCGUAAAGGCAGUGGAAACUGAUUAGCUAGAGCAUGGUAGGGGUAGAGGGAAUUCCCGGUGUAGCGGUGAAAUGCGUAGAGAUCGGGAAGAACACCAGUGGCGAAAGCGCUCUACUGGGCCAUGACUGACACUGAGGGACGAAAGCUAGGGGAGCGAAAGGG